rnacentral:rRNA from 1 species
UCUANCCAUUAGCGGGGGAUAACAGUUGGAAACGACUGCUAAUACCGCAUACGACAUUUUUUGGCAUCAAAGAAUGUUAAAAGGUCCGUUUGGAUCACUAAUGGAUGAGGGUGCGGCGUAUUAGUUAGUUGGUGGGGUAAUGGCCUACCAAGACAGUGAUACGUAGCCGAACUGAGAGGUUGAUCGGCCACAUCGGGACUGAGACACGGCCCGAACUCCUACGGGAGGCAGCANUAGGGAAUUUUUCACAAUGGGCGAAAGCCUGAUGGAGCAAUGCCGCGUGACUGAAGACGGUCUUCGGAUUGUAAAGGUCUGUUGUAAGGGAAGAACAGUAAGUAUAGGAAAUGAUACUUAUUUGACGGUACCUUACCAGAAAGCCACGGCUAACUAUGUGCCAGCAGCCGCGGUAAUACAUAGGUGGCAAGCGUUAUCCGGAUUUAUUGGGCGUAAAGCGUGCGCAGACGGUUUAACAAGUUUGGGGUCAAAUCCUGGAGCUUAACUCCAGUUCGCCUUGAAAACUGUUAAGCUAGAGUGUAGGAGAGGUCGAUGGAAUUCCAUGUGUAGCGGUGAAAUGCGUAGAUAUAUGGAGGAACACCAGUGGCGAAGGCGGUCGACUGGCCUACUACUGACGUUUAGGCACGAAAGCGUAGGGAGCAAAUAGGAUUAGAUACCCUAGUAGUCUACGCCGUAAACGAUGAGUACUAAGUGUCGGACUAAGUUCGGNGCUGCAGCUAACGCAUUAAGUACUCCGCCUGANUAGUAUGCUCGCANGAGUGAAACUCAAAGGAAUUGACGGGG